AGAGUCUCUGCACACAGCUGCGUGCACCUUAACUGUACGAAGGCGCCAGGCCUACUCGGAACUCUAGCUCUGUACUGUGCUCUGGUACUACAUGGACUAAGUUGCUAGAUGUACUAGACUGCAAGAUGGCACACUGCUUUGACUCGGAACUAUAGAGGUUCAUGGAGUCGAGCUAUUUAAACGAGGUUAAAGAAUAUGCGUCGCAAAUUGAGAUUCAACAUCUGUCCAAAGAUAAACCACUGCUCUUUAAAAGGAAUAGUCCAAAAACAAAGCGUAACAAAGGUGCUAUCAGGAGUGAUAUGAUCGACCAGCAGUUACAGAUGUGCGUAUAUACUUACCUUCUAUCCACCACUGACCGAUUAUGUCUAUGAAAAGAUACCUAUAUAGAUUUACUUUUGAGGAAAAUUGGAAAGAAUUCGAACAAAGGAGAACAAUGUUAAGCUACAGGAGCUGGUUGAAGACUAUGCAGUCACUGGUGCAGUCACAAUCUAAUGUUCUGAAGAUAAUACUGUAAGAAGAAGGAUGCAGUACAAAUGAUAUUUGUCAAGCUGCUGCUCCACGUGGAUGACAUGCAACGUUCGUUCAAGGUAGAAAAAGUGCUAUUGAAUCUGGAUCAAUGAACUACUUCGUCAUCGUAGAGAAAGAAGUGUAUGAAGUAGACUCAUUCUAUGAAACUCUUGUACUAUGUUUUUGACAUUUUAGUACCCACGUGCAUGUCUGCAUGGCACCCUUUUAUUUUUUAUUUUUAAGGUGCCUAAGUGUAUUGUGGUCGUAGUUAUUAAACACUUUAUGAGGUUAUAGGUAUACAUAUCUUCAUACUUUUAUUGUAUGCUAUCGUGAUGCAUAUCAUUAUACACAUGCUAUAAUUAUGUUACGUCAUUUAAGUCAAGUGCAUGAGCUUAUCGAGAAGUGCAAUAAGCAUGCAUGCAAUAUUUUAUGCUUUGCAUGAAGAGUAGCAAUGACAACUGUACCUGUAGUAACAGCAGCACCCAUCC